AUGGCAGCAGCCGGUGUUCAUGUACAGAAAACACGACAUAUUAAGUAGUAAUAUUACCUCAAGUUGGUUGUUCUAUAUUAAAAGGGCAGUUAAAAGUGACGCACAGUCGAAUUGGAAAUAAUUUGUCUGCCAAUUGAAGCUGUGUUUGGGAACUCUAAAUUUGUGCAAAUUUGCACAAAUUUUUACUGGAAGUCGAAAUUUGCAACUUUGAACAGUAGUGGAAUUCAGUAGUGUUUAAAGGAAGAUCGUUUAGUUAAAAAGCAAUAACAGUAAUGUUAAUUUGGUAUUCAGUAGCCACUUUUAACGAUAAUCGACAUCGUUAAAAACAGUUGUUUUCGCUAACGAAUUUCUAUUCGUUAACUAAACAACAGACUAUUAUU